UACGUAGGGAGCAAGCGUUGUCCGGAAUCAUUGGGCGUAAAGCGCGCGUAGGUGGCCAUUUAAGUCCGCUGUGAAAGUCAAAGGCUCAACCUUUGAAAGCCGGUGGAUACUGGAUGGCUAGAGUACGGAAGAGGCGAGUGAAAUUCCUGGUGUAGCGGUGGAAUGCGCAGAUAUCAGGAGGAACACCAAUAGCGAAGGCAGCUCGCUGGGACGUUACUGACACUGAGGCGCGAAAGCGUGGGGAGCGAACAGG
rnacentral:rRNA from 1 species